ACAAGGUUUCCGUAGGUGAACCUGCGGAAGGAUCAUUGUUGAUGCCCAUGAGAACAAGACAGACGGAAGCGAACCCGUGAACCCUCGUUCUCGGCCCGCACGUCGGGGCGGCGCCCCGCACGCGUCGGGCAACGACGAACCAAAUCCCGGCGCAGCACGCGCCAAGCAACCCAGGAAAGGAAGCUUUGAUUGCGGCACCCUCUUCCCCUUCGGGGCGGAGGGCACGCAUCGAACACUUACGAGUCAGUACGACUCUCGGCAACGGAUAUCUCGGCUCUCGCAUCGAUGAAGAACGUAGCGAAAUGCGAUACUUGGUGUGAAUUGCAGAAUCCCGCGAACCAUCGAGUCUUUGAACGCAAGUUGCGCCCGAGGCCUUUCGGUCGAGGGCACAUCUGCUUGGGCGUUGAACAACUCGUCCCCCGCCUCCCCCUUCUCUCCCUCCACGCUCCGAGCAGAAGGAGUCUGGCCGAGAGGAGAGGUAAGGGUGGUCGGAGUCUGGUCGUCCGUGUGCUUCGCUGCGCACGCGGUUGGCUGAAAAGCCUGGCGGGCCACGGGCUGCGUGCGGCUCAACGAGUGGUGGUUGUGCGCCCUCGCAAGGCCACGAUUGUCAGCGCGUUGCGCCGUUCCCCCCUCGGUUGCCCAGCAAAGUAAAGAGUAAGCACCCAACGCAAUCGAAACAUCCCGCAAGAUAUCCAUCCCACGGGUCGAUUCGAAUUGCAACCCCAAGUCAGGGGGGACACCCCC
rnacentral:rRNA from 1 species